rnacentral:rRNA from 1 species
ACGGGGUGCAGCAGGCGCGAAACCUUUACAAUGCACGAGAGUGUGAUAAGGGAACCCAGAGUGCUUAGCUUAGCUAGGCUUUUGCCAAGAGUAAAUAUCUUGGAGAAUAAGUGGUGGGAAAGACUGGUGCCASCCGCCGCGGUAAUACCAGCGCCACGAGUGGGAACUGUAAUUAUUGGGCCUAAAGCGCCCGUAGCCGGUUUAAUAAAUUUUUUGUGAAAUUGUUAAGCUCAACUUAACAUCGUGCAGAAAAGACUGUUAGACUUGGGACUGGGAGGAGUCAGAAGUAUCUUUGGGGUAGCGGUAAAAUGUUAUAAUCCUAAAGAGACUACCUAUGGCGAAAGCAUCUGACUAGAACAGGUCCGACGGUGAGGGACGAAAGCCAGGGGAGCGAACCGGAUUAGAUACCCGAGUAGUCCUGGCCGUAAACGCUGCGAGCAAGAUGUUGCGUAUUCUUCGUGAAUAUGCAGUAUCGAAGAGAAGUCGUUAAGCUCGCCGCCUGGGAAGUAUGGUC